UGAGGCGGGGGGGCGAGC
rnacentral:miRNA from 1 species